rnacentral:tRNA from 1 species
GAGAGAGGCUUAAAGCAGUAAGGACUGCUAAUCCCUACCCCCAUGGUUAA